rnacentral:lncRNA from 10 species
CUUUGUCCUGGAUUCCCUAUGAAUGGUCAGCUUCCUUGGGCAGAGUUCAGUGCAAAUGAGGUCAAGGCUUGGCUCUGGAGGCAGGCCAGUGAGCUCCAGUCUAUUUUGUGGAGAAAGACUCCCUCUGUCCUGUGCUAGGGGCUAGGAAGACAAAGAGAAACAGAGUCACAUCCUCCCACAAAAAUCCAUGAGAUGUCGGAGAGCCGAACUUGUAAACAGCCAUCAUCAACACAAAGAAGGAUGCACUGAUGCUCUCUAGAGGCUCACAGGAAAUGAUUCAUGGGCAUAGAGGUAAG